rnacentral:pre_miRNA from 1 species
UUCGGUGUGCGGCUGUUUUGCGUGUCAUUUAAUACAUAUCGUCAAACGAGCCGAACAUCGAAAU